rnacentral:rRNA from 1 species
UGGGGGAUAUUGCACAAUGGGGGAAACCCUGAUGCAGCGACGCCGCGUGAGGGAAGAAGGUUUUCGGAUUGUAAACCUCUGUCUUCGGUGACGAAACAAGACGGUAGCCGAGGAGGAAGCCACGGCUAACUACGUGCCAGCAGCCGCGGUAAUACGUAGGUGGCAAGCGUUGUCCGGAAUUACUGGGUGUAAAGGGAGCGUAGGCGGGAGUGCAAGUUGAAUGUGAAAACUAUGGGCUCAACCCAUAGUUGCGUUCAAAACUGCAUUUCUUGAGUGAAGUAGAGGUAAGCGGAAUUCCUAGUGUAGCGGUGAAAUGCGUAAAUAUUAGGAGGAACACCAGUGGCGAAGGCGGCUUACUGGGCUUUAACUGACGCUGAGGCUCGAAAGCGUGGGUAGCAAA